rnacentral:snRNA from 1 species
AGCUUGGCACAGUGGCAGUAUCGUUGCCAAUGACGUUUAUCUGAGGCAUGAUUAUUGCCUACUAAAUACACAAAUGCCAUUUCGUUUCCAUAAGCUUUGGGAAGGCUUUUCAUAAUAAAUAAAUACUCAAAAUAGG